UGGGGCCGCCCUAUUGGCUGGGGUUGGAUUUGUAAGAAAUGCUUCCUGACCAGCUGUGCUUACGAGAGAGACAAGGUCCCCGUUUUCAGGGGCUGCUCAUUUCUCUGGCCCAGAGCAGUGUGUCCUCCACAGCAGAAGGUUGCAUCUAGGAGGAUGACUCCAGUUUGCAGAGGAAUCGUCCAGGAGCCCAACCGGACAAGAAUAUGGCAGAAGUGGACCUGAGCAGCCUGGACAUCCUUCUAAGGAGACAUGAAUAGUCCUCAUGUUUCCGCUUUCUGCAUCACGGGCUAUGAGUAAGAGUACCAAGGAAAAUGAAGUCGCGCAUCAAAGUCUACUGCUCUGAUGCGAUGGAAAGCGAGCAAGAGCGUCGAGACUCUGACCAUUGUUGAUGCCACGCAAAAGCUGUCCAUCUGGAAGCCGAGGAGAUGCUGCUGUCAGCGAGAUAAGUGUCUGGUUUGGGGAGGGCUCUGCUCACGCCCAACACGAGUCCAGGUAGGGAAGCCCAGUACGGUAAGGCUGGGUUUGUAUGAAAAGGUUCCUGACUAGCUGUGGUCACGAGGGAGAAAAGGUCCCUGUUUUCAGAGGUUGCUCAUUUUUCUGGUCAGGAACAGUGUCUCCUGCACAGGGGGAGGUUGGAUCCAGGAGGAUGACUCAGGUGGUGAGUUGCUUGCUUUCCUCCCAUUUGUCUCUCCCUUCUCUAGUGUGUUGGCCAACUUUCUCACUCUCUUCCCUCUCCUCUCCUCGUGUUGUCUCACUUCCUAAGACACGGGCAGACAUGUUAGGUGUGCAUCCCUACAGGCUAGG